rnacentral:rRNA from 1 species
GAGAGUGGCGAACGGGUGAGUAACACGUAGGAGAUCUACCCUCAAGACGGGGACAACCCAGGGAAACUUGGGCUAAUACCGGAUGAUAGCAGCAGUGAUGUUGUUUAGAAGAUGGCUUUCGGGCUGUCGUUUGGGGAUGAGCCUGCGUCCUAUUAGCUAGUUGGUGUGGUAAAGGCACACCAAGGCGAUGAUAGGUAGGCGGCCUUAACGGGUGGUCGCCCACACUGGGAUUGAGAUACGGCCCAGACUCCUACGGGAGGCAGCAGUCGAGAAUAGUCUACAAUGGUCGGAAGACUGAUAGUGCGACGCCGCGUGAACGAGGAAUCCCUUCGGGGUGUAAAGUUCUUUUAUAUGUGAGCAGUGGGUUUUACGUUAAUAGCGUGGGAUCAGGGAUAUUAGCAUAUGAAUAAGCAACGGCUAACUCCGUGCCAGCA